AUUGAACGCUGGCGGCAGGCCUAACACAUGCAAGUCGAGCGGUAGCACAGAGAGCUUGCUCUCGGGUGACGAGCGGCGGACGGGUGAGUAAUGUCUGGGAAACUGCCUGAUGGAGGGGGAUAACUACUGGAAACGGUAGCUAAUACCGCAUAACGUCGCAAGACCAAAGUGGGGGACCUUCGGGCCUCAUGCCAUCAGAUGUGCCCAGAUGGGAUUAGCUAGUAGGUGGGGUAAUGGCUCACCUAGGCGACGAUCCCUAGCUGGUCUGAGAGGAUGACCAGCCACACUGGAACUGAGACACGGUCCAGACUCCUACGGGAGGCAGCAGUGGGGAAUAUUGCACAAUGGGCGCAAGCCUGAUGCAGCCAUGCCGCGUGUGUGAAGAAGGCCUUCGGGUUGUAAAGCACUUUCAGCGGGGAGGAAGGCGGUGAGGUUAAUAACCUCAUCGAUUGACGUUACCCGCAGAAGAAGCACCGGCUAACUCCGUGCCAGCAGCCGCGGUAAUACGGAGGGUGCAAGCGUUAAUCGGAAUUACUGGGCGUAAAGCGCACGCAGGCGGUCUGUCAAGUCGGAUGUGAAAUCCCCGGGCUCAGCCUGGGAACUGCAUUCGAAACUGGCAGGCUAGAGUCUUGUAGAGGGGGGUAGAAUUCCAGGUGUAGCGGUGAAAUGCGUAGAGAUCUGGAGGAAUACCGGUGGCGAAGGCGGCCCCCUGGACAAAGACUGACGCUCAGGUGCGAAAGCGUGGGGAGCAAACAGGAUUAGAUACCCUGGUAGUCCACGCCGUAAACGAUGUCGAUUUGGAGGUUGUGCCCUUGAGGCGUGGCUUCCGGAGCUAACGCGUUAAAUCGACCGCCUGGGGAGUACGGCCGCAAGGUUAAAACUCAAAUGAAUUGACGGGGGCCCGCACAAGCGGUGGAGCAUGUGGUUUAAUUCGAUGCAACGCGAAGAACCUUACCUGGUCUUGACAUCCACAGAACUUUCCAGAGAUGGAUUGGUGCCUUCGGGAACUGUGAGACAGGUGCUGCAUGGCUGUCGUCAGCUCGUGUUGUGAAAUGUUGGGUUAAGUCCCGCAACGAGCGCAACCCUUAUCCUUUGUUGCCAGCGGUCCGGCCGGGAACUCAAAGGAGACUGCCAGUGAUAAACUGGAGGAAGGUGGGGAUGACGUCAAGUCAUCAUGGCCCUUACGACCAGGGCUACACACGUGCUACAAUGGCAUAUACAAAGAGAAGCGACCUCGCGAGAGCAAGCGGACCUCAUAAAGUAUGUCGUAGUCCGGAUUGGAGUCUGCAACUCGACUCCAUGAAGUCGGAAUCGCUAGUAAUCGUAGAUCAGAAUGCUACGGUGAAUACGUUCCCGGGCCU
rnacentral:rRNA from 1 species